rnacentral:rRNA from 1 species
AGAACGAACGCUGGCGGCAUGCCUAACACAUGCAAGUCGAACGCUUCACCGGUUUCGGCCGGUGGGGAGUGGCGCACGGGUGAGUAGCGCGUGGGAACCUGCCCUGUUGUGGGGGAUAACCGAGGGAAACUUCGGCUAAUACCGCAUAAGCCGGUUGUCUUGAAAGAGAUGGCCGGGAAAGAUUUAUCGCGACAGGAGGGGCCCGCGUCGGAUUAGCUAGUUGGUGGGGUAACGGCCCACCAAGGCAGUGAUCCGUAGCUGGUCUGAGAGGAUGAUCAGCCACACUGGGACUGAGACACGGCCCAGACUCCUACGGGAGGCAGCAGUGGGGAAUAUUGGACAAUGGGCGCAAGCCUGAUCCAGCAAUGCCGCGUGAGUGAUGAAGGCCUUAGGGUUGUAAAGCUCUUUCGCCGCGACGAUGAUGACGGUAGCGGGAGAAGAAGCCCGGCUAACUUCGCGCCAGCAGCCGCGGUAA